rnacentral:rRNA from 1 species
GAUGAACGCUGGCGGCGUGCCUAAUACAUGCAAGUCGAGCGAAUGGAUUAAGAGCUUGCUCUUAUGAAGUUAGCGGCGGACGGGUGAGUAACACGUGGGUAACCUGCCCAUAAGACUGGGAUAACUCCGGGAAACCGGGGCUAAUACCGGAUAACAUUUUGAACCGCAUGGUUCGAAAUUGAAAGGCGGCUUCGGCUGUCACUUAUGGAUGGACCCGCGUCGCAUUAGCUAGUUGGUGAGGUAACGGCUCACCAAGGCAACGAUGCGUAGCCGACCUGAGACGGUGAUCGGCCACACUGGGACUGAGACACGGCCCAGACUCCUACGGGAGGCAGCAGUAGGGAAUCUUCCGCAAUGGACGAAAGUCUGACGGAGCAACGCCACGUGAGUGAUGAAGGCUUUCGGGUCGUAAAACUCUGUUGUUAGGGAAGAACAAGUGCUAGUUGAAUAAGCUGGCACCUUGACGGUACCUAACCAGAAAGCCACGGCUAACUACGUGCCAGCAGCCGCAGUAA